rnacentral:rRNA from 1 species
UACGUAGGGACCAAGCGUUGUUCGGAUUUACUGGGCGUAAAGGGCGCGUAGGCGGUGUGUCAAGUCAGGCGUGAAAGCCCCGGGCUCAACCUGGGAACAGCGCUUGAGACUGGCACGCUCGAGUUCGGGAGAGGAUGGUGGAAUUCCCAGUGUAGAGGUGAAAUUCGUAGAUAUUGGGAAGAACACCGAUGGCGAAGGCAGCCAUCUGGACCGACACUGACGCUGAGGCGCGAAAGCGUGGGGAGCAAACAGGG